UACGUAGGGUGCAGGCGUUGUCCGGAAUUAUUGGGCGUAAAGAGCUCGUAGGCGGUUUGUCACGUCGGAUGUGAAACCCUGAGGCUCAACCUCAGGCCUGCAUUCGAUACGGGCAGACUAGAAUUCGGCAGGGGAGACUGGAAUUCCUGGUGUAGCGGUGAAAUGCGCAGAUAUCAGGAGGAACACCGGUGGCGAAGGCGGGUCUCUGGGCCGAUAUUGACGCUGAGGAGCGAAAGCUAGGGGAGCAAACGGG
rnacentral:rRNA from 1 species